rnacentral:rRNA from 1 species
GAUGAACGCUGGCGGCGUGCCUAAUACAUGCAAGUCGAGCGAACAGACGAGGAGUUUGCUCCUCUGACGUUAUCGGCGGACGUGUGAGUAACACGUGGAUAACCUACCUAUAAGACUGGGAUAACUUCGGGAAACCGGAUCUAAUACCGUAUAAUAUAUUGAACCGCAUGGUUCAAUAGUGAAAGACGGUUUUGCUGUCACUUAUAGAUGGUUCCUCGCCGCAUUAGCUAGUUGGUAAGGUAACGGCUUACCAAGGCAACGAUGCGUAGCCGACCUGAGAGGGUGAUCGGCAACACUGGAACUGAGACACGGUCAAGACUCCUACGGGAGGCAGAAGUAGGGAUUCUUCGGAAAUGGGCGAAGGCCUGACGGAGAAAGGCCGCGGGAGUGAUGAAGGUCUUCGGAUCGUAAACCUCUGUUAUUAGGGAAGAAGAAAUGUGUAAGUAACUAUGCACGUCUUGACGGUACCUAAUCAGAAAGGCACGGCUAACUACGUG